AGCAGUGACACGGGGUGUCCCUCCAAGGGAGGGGCUGAGAAGAGACCCGUCGAACCUGAUCCAGCUCAUACUGGCGAAGGGAUGUCCUGCCGGGCCCUC
rnacentral:ncRNA from 2 species